AAUUCUUUACGCAUAUAUUUUUUGAUCGGGGACCGAGACGAAAGUCAACGUGACACGGAAUGACGAGUAGAAUCGAAAUCCAUUUGAAUCGACGCGUCCCGGUGAGCAGUAGUUUCGGAAAUAGUCGCGGAUAAUCGAUUUUUAAUGACUCUUAGAAUGACGGAAAGUGAAAUAACGAGCGACGAGUCACGAGAGACCCCCGAAUCGUCUCUUUUCACUCGAAACUUAUUCGCCGCCCCCAAAACAUAUUUUCGUACAGUGUGUUUUAUCAGAGAUUAAUGAAUUUUCAGGAAAUGUUUUCCAUUUUCGCGGUUUACGAAGAGCGCAAAGCCUCGGAAUAUCGCGCUACUUUUAACUCGAAAGUUUCGCCUGGCUCGCUGUUGUGCGUCAUAGAGCCGCGGAGCACGGAGCGAACGAAACUCGCUACGAGAGAAAGUGAGGUCGAUUCAGCCGAGCAAGAAUCCAGCGGAAAACUCACUUUGGUUUAUCGCGCUGUUCGAGAGAGAAGUUUUUGCUGUUUUCCUGCUUCGAUGGCCCCCGAGAAAUCAUCGGAUAAUUGACGCAGCAGCAGCAGCCGAUUGGGCAACGCCGAUCAUCGGAGGCUCAUCAGCGGAGAGAAAAACCGACGAGGGACUUCGAUCCGCUGGUUUCUUCGUGCCCCGACGCAGUUUUUAGCGGCGUUUGCACCAGCGGAGGAAAAAACUAGCGCGUUCUCGAGGCUGGACGGCCAGAACGAAGUCUCGUGAACGGCGCAGUUUCAGCCAGCCGUAAAAUCUUUCCUGGCAGUUUUUCACGGUGCGGGAACAAUUGACGCGCGGCGCGACGAGCUGAAAACCGGCGCUCCGAGAUUACUCGGCGACGUUACGCGUCGAAGAACUCCGAUGAAAACUCGGGCUAUUCCGCUCACUUUAUUUUUACUAUCUCGUUGGAACAGCAACUCCCUCGAGCUCCUCCAAAGUGCGGAGGGGAAAGAGGACCAACGAUACAAACGCGACGGAAACUUUGUCCGCUUCUUCUCCCUUUUCUCUAUUGCACGGAAUAAUAAUCGAUACGAGAAUCCUACGCUCGGACCUCGGGAGCCUGCAAACCAACCCGAGCUCGCUCGACCGGGCGGGCUGCAUCGGUAUUCGAGCCUGGAACACCCCACUAUCUAUUUUUUCCGACGUUAACCCGACACUGGGCUAAAAAAUCGGCCCAAUUUUAUCUCCGGCAUAAAGUGCCUCUCGCGUGCGCCAAUGAACUUUAAUUAUACAUCAUUUUCUUCGUUUUUUCAUAACGAAGAUAACGGUCUCUAAUAAAGCAGCAUUCUGUGCAUACUUAAUGGUGAAAACGCCGCAAAACCGACGGCUUGCUCCGGAAAAGUCGAUUCGCCCGGAGAAAACGUGAUAUUUUCGUCUGGGAGUUAAUUACCGAGCGUUUGAGCAUUUUCCUCGUCCCUGCGGAAUAAAAAUGUUCAUAGCGAGACACAGCGACGAGUCUCGUGUUCAUUUUAUUGCCACCUGCCGUGGAAAACGUUCGGCCGUGUUUAGAGGCCAAAUUUUCUAUGUUUGUCGAGACAAGAGUGCUCGUCGAGCACUUUUUCGCACAACAUGUUCAAAGUCUGACUGAAAAAACUGAGUAUUUUGAGGAUUCGACGCGUAACUUGCGAAUUUGAGAGGUCGUGCGAUGAAAAUUUUCGGAAAUUCGCUCGAGCCAAAAAUAUUUUCAGACUCGAACGUCACCGGCUUGGGCUCGCCGCAGAACCGUUGUUUCAUGCGCCGAAUCUUCUUGGCGCAAGAGCCGAGAUGCCGAACAGAGAAUACGAGCGCACUCGCCUCGCGCGGAUCGAAAGCGUCGCGCUACGAAAUUUAUUCGAAGCGGAUUCAUUGAGUUCUCCGGAGAUGAUAAAAUUCCGCGGGCCCAAAAAGAUGUUCAAUCACGACGAACUCGAUCGUCUCCCCCGCUCGUCGACUCGACUCCGAGAUACUUUUUUUCUCUUCCAAGAAUUAACGCUUCAUUGUGCUAAAAGAGUCGGCAGUGCGCAAUUCUGCUGUAGCCGUGAUUAGUCCGCGGCGAAGCUGACUAAGAGCUCGUCGAAUGCGCGUCGCCGCGAGUUAUUCGUACGCCGCGCGGAGAAGUCGCUCACCGCCGGAACAUUAAUGUUGGAAGAAAAAUUCACGCAGAGAAUCCAGACUCGGAACUCACCAAUGCGCACUGCUUCGCAUGCAUAUUUAUACAUUUGUACCUCGGAGUCUUGCCCGCACGGACUGCGGACAGUUCAGUGUCCCCGGAUAUGCUCGCACACGAGCUGACACUCGACACUCUCGAUGGGACGAGCUCGCUGGGCACACACGACAAAACAAAUUGUUAUUAAUUGGUACGACAAUCAACGCGUCUCCUAUAUUGUAACUGUUCAACCGGCUCCGCGGACGUUUCAACUCAUUUUAAGCCUUAGUGUGCAUCUGGGGUCAGGUUGAGCCCAACAUUUUUUUCUCACACGAAUUGCAUUUACAGAUGAGCAUCUCACGAGUAAAACCGCCGAUAUUAAGAAAUGGUUAUUCCCUCUCUAAAGGCAGGGAGCAUAGCCACUUCGUAGUCCAAAAUAAAUAGACUUUUUGGAAGGGUUGCAAAGUGGACUAUUUUUCCCUUAAAGCAUGGACCUUUGUCUGCAAAACUCUGAGCGCCGUCAUCAGUCUCUCAGAAAUCCAUUGACAGGUUGAAACACAAAUAAGUAGACUAGCGGCGGAUGUGCUCCGCUAAAAAUCUGUCUCAAGGACCAGCAGUGAAUUGUUGAACUGUAGACGACGGUGUACGAAAUGGAUUGAACACGCUGAGUGUAACACGAUUAGCCAAGGCCACACGAUCGUAUAAGCCGCGUAUGGAUCCAAUCAAUCUUUUACGCGUUGUUCUACAUACCAAAAAGAUAUGCCGCCGCAUUUUCAGCCUCGAAAAAACGCUCGAAAAUCAUCCAAUCGAGCAAGCAAACAUUGACUCAAUCCAUCAACUUCAUUUUCAUUGAUUAAAGUCUUUCAUUUCAUCAUAUUUUUGUAUUUUCAAUAAAAUAUCUUUGAAGAUUCUAUUAUUUGUAGUUCAACGUUUCGUGUCGUCGAACUGAAUUUCGUACGAGUCGAAAAAUGCCAGAAUAGGUAGUCGCGAAAAGCAAUUCGGUAAUUAUCUUCCGUUCGGACUGAACAGAAUCACGAAUUUCUCGAGAAAAUAAUUCAAUUGAAUGGACCCCAUUUAUCGAUCAAAUGGAGAGUGCUGCAUGAUAAAGUGACGUUUUGUAAAUAUUUUAUCACAAAAACUCUUUAGACGUGGAACAAUUCGUUCCGGAAAAAAAUUUGCCAUUUUCGUCGCGAGCUAUCGGACUUUUGGUAUUCUCGUAAUUGACGAAAAUAAAAGUCCGCGACUAUCACAUAUCGUAAUGAAGUGAAAAUAAUAAAAACACGAGAUACGUCGACAAGGUUUUUGGACGACGCGAAGCAUGAGACGAUGAGAACAAACAUAAUUUUGGGCCUAUUUCGGUGAACGUCGUUUCACGCACGACGCGAUAUAACUCAGUCCUUUGAAAACAUAACCUCAACAACAAACGUGCUUUAUUGGCUUUUUCCCGUUCAUACCGCUGGAAUUAGUGAUAUAAAUUUCGCAACACCCGCUUCUGUAGUGACGAAGCACGAAACACGUGUCAAGAUUCACGUUGCACUACAUAUAUGAUAAAUUUUCGUGUAUGUAUACAUAUAUAUAGGAGUGGCAAAAUACUGGCAUGUUCCACGAAGCAUGCCGCGUCUGGACGCCCACACCGAACGAGGAAAAACUGAUACGAAUCUGUCUCCAAUCCCCUCAGAUUCUACGUCAUCGGACGCGGCUCGUGUGAAUUUUUAUAACCGCAAAAUACGAUGAAUAUCGAGACAACGACCCUCCGAGUAUUUUUCCUCCAAUAAAACUUUCAUUCUUUAUUGACGGCGGA
rnacentral:lncRNA from 1 species